AACACAUGCAAGUCGAACGAGAUCCAUGGGAGCUUGCUCCCGGAAGAUCUAGUGGCGAACGGGUGAGUAACACGUGAGAAACCUGCCCUGGAGGUGGGAAUAACUCGGGGAAAACUCGAGCUAAUACCGCAUACCCUCGGAUGGUCGCAUGGCCGACCGAGGAAAGAUUUUAUCGCUCUAGGAGGGUCUCGCGGCCUAUCAGCUAGUUGGUGGGUAACGGCCUACCAAGGCAACGACGGGUAGCUGGUUUGAGAGAACGAUCAGCCACACUGGGACUGAGACACGGCCCAGACUCCUACGGGAGGCAGCAGUGGGGAAUCUUUGCGCAAUGGGCGAAAGCCUGACGCAGCAACGCCGCGUGCGGGAUGACGGCCUUCGUGGUUGUAAACCGCUUUCAGCAGGGACGAAAAUGACGGUACCUGCAGAAGAAGCCCCGGCUAACUACGUG
rnacentral:rRNA from 1 species